GAACGCUGGCGGCGUGCCUACUACAUGCAAGUCGAGCGAACAGACGAGGAGCUUGCUCCUCUGACGUUAGCGGCGGACGGGUGAGUAACACGUGGAUAACCUACCUAUAAGACUGGGAUAACUUCGGGAAACCGGAGCUAAUACCGGAUAAUAUAUUGAACCGCAUGGUUCAAUAGUGAAAGACGGUUUUGCUGUCACUUAUAGAUGGAUCCGCGCCGCAUUAGCUAGUUGGUAAGGUAACGGCUUACCAAGGCGACGAUGCGUAGCCGACCUGAGAGGGUGAUCGGCCACACUGGAACUGAGACACGGUCCAGACUCCUACGGGAGGCAGCAGUAGGGAAUCUUCCGCAAUGGGCGAAAGCCUGACGGAGCAACGCCGCGUGAGUGAUGAAGGUCUUCGGAUCGUAAAACUCUGUUAUUAGGGAAGAACAAAUGUGUAAGUAACUAUGCACGUCUAGACGGUACCUAAUCAGAAAGCCACGGCUAACUACGUG
rnacentral:rRNA from 1 species